UGAGCCAUUUUUAAAUUCUUCGCAAUCUAUGAACACGCAUUCGUUUUGACUGCUUGUCCAACAGCUUAGAGGAAGACACUUUGCUGCCAGUAGCCAACCGUGCAGUGGAUAAGGACUUGAGGUAUCGAUUUUUUAAACUAUCUGACUAUUGUUUAAUUUGGGGCUAACGUUAUCCUUGACAUUCAGACAGAGGCCAGGCUUUCUUCGAUAGUUUUGAAGAAGAGGGACGUUGCACAAAUUCACACCAGGCUGUGUCCGGCUUGCUUUAUAAUCGAGGAUGCAUACGGGACCAAGCGUCGCCUGGACUUCAAUUCAGUUUUACAAGUGUAAAGCACUCAGGCGGUCAUAAACGAUCCUCUGCCAGGGUUUAUAGGCUGCGUCUAACUGAGGGCCCAGUGGCACAGGGUUUUCACCUUAAAAGUAAUACAGUCCCAAAUGGGAUUCAAACACACUGCAAUGAUACAAUCACGAUGGAGUGGCUUACUUUGGUGAUAAAAUGUGCCUUAUUCACCUCAGGGACCGUGGACUAGCAGCACUGGAACACGAUGUCACCUCAGGGUUACGUGCUAUGUUACGUGCUAGUACAGGGCUUUUUUUUUCUUCUUUCAAUUUUAUAAUUUCAGUUCUUUACUCAAAAGGUUUGGACGUGAAAUCUAGUUGCCAUAGCAGUAUAUUUGAGGCUACUUUCUUGCUGUAUAAUGAGUCACCGUCCAAUCAGUGUUGAGGCUCGUACUUUAGCCGACUAGAUGUUUGUGUCCACUUCAUAACUCACCCAGGUGCUGCUGUCAGCAGUCACAUCGUUAAUGAAGCCGAGUGAACCAGUUCCAUUGGCAGCCAUACAUGCCCAAGACAUAACACUCCUCUCAGAAUAUUUCACAAAUUUGGCACAUGUUCCUACCUCUCGUGAGUCCGCAAGAUCUUUUUCCAGAAUUCGCCCAGCUCUUUUAGGCACUGUGACCUGUCCGUGUCCAAUAUUAUAAGCAAACUAGCAGUUUGCACUGUCCAGUGUAGCCUCAGUAGUUGUGCUGGCGAAGUUGUCCGCACAUGGCAGUGGUUGACACAUCCAUGCCUACCUCCUGGAGAGUGUUCCUGAUCUGUCAAACCGUUGUUUUCUUUCUUAAUUAUGGAGAGCUCUCUUCAGUCAUUCAUUGUGGAGCUCCUCCUUGGUCUAUCAGGCUGCUUGCGAUGGCUGAGCUUACCAGUACUUCACUUACAUGUUCCUAACUAUUGUUUGUGGUAAGACUCAGCUUUUGGCUAUGUUUCAGAUUAAUGUUUUAUGAAUUCCCCUUAACAUAGCAUCCUUGACCUUCAUUGAGACCUCAGCGGUCCUCAUGUUGAAAGACACCAAUAGCAGACUCCAAAGGCAAAUGCAACGAUUAGAAUCAAGACUACGCAUUCACGGCUCUCCUUAGACUGCACAAAUUAUGUGAUGGAACAGUUCAGUAAUACCUUUCAAGACGAUUUUCACAUGGGGAGAUUUACCUCCAGGUCCACAUAAUGUCUCCAUGAAGUCCACAGAAGAUCUAAGCCAGGAAGAAAUGGAUCACGGAAGGACAGAGGAAGGUAAAUUCAAACAAACGUCUGUUGUUGUAGAAGACCAGUGUUCUUUUAGGGCCGUCCACUGAGCUGGAGGAACGGAAGGUUAUAUGGAAAUCUAGCUUGGCUACAGAGGUCAACCAGUGAACCUUUUCUCCUUUCCUUAUACCUCACUCCACGGUCCUCUCCCCCUCCCUCAACCUCAGUCUCACCCACUCCCCAUGUCCGCAUUUACCCAACCCAACGCAGACAGAUUGGGAAAGGUUUGUUUUGC
ensembl:lncRNA